rnacentral:rRNA from 1 species
GGAAUAUUGGACAAUGGGCGCAAGCCUGAUCCAGCCAUGCCGCGUGUGUGAAGAAGGCCCUAGGGUUGUAAAACUCUUUCGUGGGGGACGAUAAUGACGGUACCCCAAGAAGAAGCUCCGGCUAACUUCGUGCCAGCAGCCGCGGUAAUACGAAGGGGGCUAGCGUUGUUCGGAUUUACUGGGCGUAAAGCGCGUGUAGGCGGGCUGGAAAGUUGGGGGUGAAAUCCCGAGGCUCAACCUCGGAACUGCCUCCAAAACUUCCAGCCUGGACUCAAGUAGAGGCAAGUGGAAUUGCGAGUGUAGAGGUGAAAUUCGUAGAUAUUCGCAGGAACACCAGUGGCGAAGGCGACUUGCUGGACUUGUAGUGACGCUGAGACGCGAAAGCGUGGGGAGCAAA